CCUACGGGCGGCAGCAGUGGGGAAUAUUGGACAAUGGGGGGAACCCUGAUCCAGCGACGCCGCGUGAGUGAAGCAGUAUUUCGGUAUGUAAAGCCCUAUCAGCAGGGAAGAAAGAAGACGGUACCUGACUAAGAAGCCCCGGCUAACUACGUGCCAGCAGCCGCGGUAAUACGUAGGGGGCGAGCGUUAUCCGGAUUCACUGGGUGUAAAGGGAGCGUAGACGGCCGUGCAAGCCAGGAGUGAAAGCCCGGGGCCCAACCCCGGGACUGCUCUUGGAACUGUGCGGCUGGAGUGCGGGAGGGGCAGGCGGAAUUCCUGGUGUAGCGGUGAAAUGCGUAGAUAUCAGGAGGAACACCGGCGGCGAAGGCGGCCUGCUGGACCGCGACUGACGUUGAGGCUCGAAAGCGUGGGGAGCGAACAGGAUUAGAUACCCUUGUAGUC
rnacentral:rRNA from 1 species